rnacentral:rRNA from 1 species
GAUGAACGCUGGCGGCGUGCCUAAUACAUGCAAGUCGAGCGAACAGAUGAGGAGCUUGCUCCUCUGACGUUAGCGGCGGACGGGUGAGUAACACGUGGAUAACCUACCUAUAAGACUGGGAUAACUUCGGGAAACCGGAGCUAAUACCGGAUAAUAUAUUGAACCGCAUGGUUCAAUAGUGAAAGACGGUUUUGCUGUCACUUAUAGAUGGAUCCGCGCCGCAUUAGCUAGUUGGUAAGGUAACGGCUUACCAAGGCAACGAUGCGUUGACGACCUGAGAGGGUGAUCGCCCACACUGGAACUGAGCCACGGUCCUGACUCCUACGGGAGGCAGCAGUAGGGAAUCUUCCGCAAUGGGCGAAAGCCUGACGGAGCAACGCCGCGUGAGUGAUGACGGUCUUCGGAUCGUAAAACUCUGUUAUUAGGGAAGAACAAAUGUGUAAGUAACUAUGCACGUCUUGACGGUACCUAAUCAGAAAGCCACGGCUAACUACGUG